UCCGGAGAGCAUGGGGAGGGGUCCCAGAGUGCUGGCCUCCGGAGAGCCGGUGGGAGGGUUUGAGAGUGGAAGGCUGGGAGCCUUCUUCAGCCUCUUUUUGGUGGCGACACUGGGUCUCCCUAAGUUGCUCAGGCUGGCCUGGAACUUGUGAGUCUUCUGCUCAGCCUCCUGAGCCUCUGGACCUGGCCAGAUCGCUGGUGCUGAUGGAAGGACUAGGUAGGUCCCAGCACAGAGACUCAACCCAAACCUGGCCCUAGUGGAGGAGAGGGCUCAUUCAAUUGGAUGUCCAGAGUGGCCACCAUCAGCAAGAGUGGAUGGAGCUGUACAGCAGCAAGACGGGAACCUGGGCUCUCAGGCCACAAGGGCAGCUGCAGCAAACAUUUCCCAGCUUGCAAGCGCAGGUAGAGAGGGGGUCCUCUAAAGCUAGUAUCAAGGCUGUCUUUCUGGAUGACGUGGUCCGCCUCUCUAUCCCUGAACCAGGCUGUGGCAUCGGGUGGUAGGAGGGGAGCUGCCUGGGCUGAAAGGGACUUUUUUUUUUGUACUAGAGAUUAAACCUGGCCAGGGUGCUUGACCACUGAACCACAUUUCCCAGCCCUUUUUAUUUUGAGACAGGGUCUUGCUAAGUUGCUUAGGGCCUCACUAAGUUGCUGAGGCUGGCUUUGAACUUGAGAUCCUCCUGCCUGAGCCUCUGGAGCUGUGUGGGUUAUAGGAGUGUGCUGGCUGAAAGGGAUUUUCUGAAGGAAAUCAGAAGUCGGGGUUUGGGAGAGUGUGUGUGGCAGGCAAGGCUGAUCAAGGGGCCAGUGGGUGUGACAUGGCAGGUGACCAGAGUAAGGGGACUCCCACUGCUUUUGAGGUUUUGAGUGCAGGCUGAAGGCUGCAUGGAGGGGCUGUUGGCUUUGUGCUGGUGAGAGGUUUCACUGGGGCUUUGUCAGCACUGAAGAAGGACAGUGGCUGGGUCUGAGCAAGCAUAGGAAGAGACUGACCGUGGCUGUUCUCCUAGGCAGGUCCUUCGAGGCUGGUGACAGGUCUUAUGGCUCCCCAGGGGCCGAGGCAUAGUGCUGCUGGAGUGCCUUCAAGCUGCCCAUGCUCUGGCCUUUAACAGAGUCCAGGCUCUGAGAGGCAGCUUCCCCCAGCCAGCCCAUCAGGUGGGCAUGAGGUGCAGGACCUGGGGCCUUCUGUGUGGCCCCUGGGAAGGCCACUGGAGCAGCUGUGGUGGUCUAGCACCUGCUGUCUGCCCUGAACGGUCAUUCCUGUCUGGGCUCAGGAAGGCUCGUGUUCAAGGUGAACUCUGCCCAUCUGCAGCAGACUGGCUGAGCCAGGGCUGUUCCCAGUGGGCUGGCUGUGGCCUGAGCGUGGUGAGACUGGACCCUGCUUCCUGGACCCAGUGUCCUGCUGGGGAUGGACAUGCCACUGGGGCACAGGUAUCUUUCUGAGACCCACAAAGGUGCCAUAGCAGUUGGUGGCUGCCCUGGAUUGAGCACACCAGGACAUGUAUACCCAGAGGAUGGACCUGCACUGAGUCUGGAGAGAAGACAGGGGUUAGACCCAGGUGUCCCAUGGGGCUACUCAUAUUGUUGGCCAAAACCCAAAAACAAAAACCAAAUUUUGAGAAAACAAAAAUAGAAAGUAGGUAACUUCCCACAAACCUGUAAAUUACAUGUACCAUGUGCAUACUCACACAUCUGUCUCAGCCUCUGAGCUCCUUGAUCCAGCCUUGCCUGCUGCCCAUGCUCCAGGCACCACCAGUUUCCUUCAGAGAGUCUCUGCUUUGUCCCUGUGGUGCAGGGUUUGCAGAUGCUGGCUCUGCCUCUGGAACAUAAAGCCCAGUUUGGGCAUCUGGCUCACCUCUGUCCCUGGAAUCAGGAUGGACACAUGAGCCACACCAUCCAAUGAGAGGCAGGCUGGGGACUUGGGCUGGGGAAGUUUGCGGUCUGGGGUGCUGGCUGAGCUGGGUGCUGCUGGCUGUAGCUUCCUGGGCCAUGUGGGAGGCAUGUGGGCCUGCAAACAGAGGACAGGCACGUGCACAGGGGAAGUGGGGCCUCCCCUGGACCCGCUGUGCCCUGUGCCCAGCAGGUUCUGGGGGGACAGUGCCUGUCUGCAAGUUGCUGGGCUGCCUGGCAGCCCCAAGGCUCAGGGCUACAGAGCCCACCUGGCCUGGGCCUUCACCUCUGGUAGCCUGAGCUCUGCUGACGAAGGCAGAGUGGACUCUCCUGUCCCUGGAGGUGGCCAGCGCAGACCACAAGCCCAGGCUGGAUACCACCUCCCAGCCCCAGCCCUUCUUGUCACUUUUGGCCAGUUCUUGGGGGUUCUCAUGGCCUUGUACCGACCCCUCUGCUCAGGUCUGCUAAGUUGGAGACCAGCGGGCACUAGGGACAUUUCUACCUCACGGUGGCGAAGCUGGUGAUGACUGGGGAAGGAGAAGCCUGGGCCUUGUGCUUAGACAGCACCUGCCCCAGAGGGCCCCAGGGAGGUGGUGGCCCUCCACCAGGCCCCCAUGUCUCCGCCAAGCCUGGCUGGGCACCAGUGACUGGGAGGACCAACCCUGGGCCUGCUGGCUGACGCUGCUGGGCGCAUGGUAUGCAGCCCGCCAGGCCCCCAUGCAGGUCCUGACCCUACUUCUGGGCCCCACAGCGUUGAGGGUUGAGCAGGCAGAGGGCUCUUCCCAGGAGGCAGCCCCGGCUCAGCCUGUAGGAGGAGGGUGGAUUGGGGCUGGGGCUCGGGCGCUGGAGGGCUCUUCUCUUGCUGGUCCAGAGCCUGGGAGCCUGGGCGGCAGGCUCGGUGUCCCUGGUCCAGCCUGGUGUCUCUACCUGUCCUCCUCUUCUCCCAAGGACCUGUUGGAUGGGGUCCACCCCAACAGCCUUCUUACCCGAGUUUCCUCCUCAAAGGCCGUCUCCACUGGUCACUUUCUGAGGUUCUUGAGGUUGGGGCUUCACUGUGGGUUUGGGGGGAUGGUCGCACACGUGCAGGAGGGUGAAGGAGCAGGGUCAUGGUUGGAGAGGGCAGUGGGGUGGGCCCAGCCCGUGGGGGGCCCAGAGCUGCCCCUGUGCACAGCCUCCCUCUCAGCUUCUGCCUUCCCUCGCGUCCUGCCUAGGAGCACCCAGCCCAGCUACUUGGGCCUCCCUGUCCCUGCACCUGCUGAGCUGGCUGACAGGUGACCCAGAGCUGCAGCCUGCGAUGGCAUUGAAGGGAGACUCUGUUUUGCAGCAGCUCAGUCCCCACUUGGUACUUGAGGAGGGCUCUGUAGGUGCUGGACACUAGAGUAGCAUCAGAGCACUCUGCCUGGCUCACCUUUGCCUGGCUCACCUCCCCCUCUCCUCCAGAGGUCCCCUGCAGGAGGAAUAGUUACAGCACCUCAUAAAGACACAGUUGUAGUGGGACAGUGGGGGCUUCCUGCCUUCAGGCACGGCUGGCUCCAGGGACCUGCCAGCAUCCUUGGACCCCCCCGGGAGCUCUGCUCCUGCCUUGGGAUGGGAUCCGGGGUCCUUUAGCAGGGUGAAAGGUGUCCCCCACAUUCGUGUCCAGGGGGACCUUUGGAUGUGUUCAUACACAUGUGGACAAGGGUCUUUGUGGGUGUGAUUGCGUUAAGGAUCAUGAGAUCCCCUGAGGUCAUCUCAUGGCCUUGUACCGACCCCUCUGCUCAGGUGUGCUCAAUUGGAGACCAAACCCAGUGACAGUUAAGUGUCCUCAUCAGAGCAGGAAGAGGCUGGGCAUGGUGGCCACACUGGCGAUCCAGCAACUUGGCAGACGGAGGGGCCGCAUUCCAGGCCGGCCUGGGCAGCUCAGGGAGACCCUGACUCAGGAGACCAACAGGGCUGGGCGUGAAGCUCAGCAGUGGAGCGCCCCCCCACUUCAACCCCCAGGGCCACAAGGGCAAGCCUCAGGAGCCACACAGGCUGAGUGGAAGUCCUCUGCUGCUGGCCUCCGAGUGUGUGGCACCUGCAUGCGGUAGCCCAGGACCCUCAGGCACCUCCUGGGCCUCCUCAGCUCUGUCUAUCCCAAAGGAUCUGGGCCUCCGUCCCUCCAGCUGCUGGGCUCCCUGGCUCCUCCCCACUGGCCUCCUUAGAUGCUACUCUGUCCAUCCCUGAGAGGCUCAUGGGACAGGCCAGUGGGCCAGUCGCAGGCCCUCUUCCUCCCUCCCCAUCUGCAGCCCUGGAGCAAUAGCGGACGGCACUCUCAACCCAGAAGCCUGAGCAGGAAAGUGAGCGCUGUUACUUUUGUCCUUAGAUCAGCCUCCCGUGUCUCCCCUAGAACAACAGUGAGGAAAGGAAGAAACUCUAUGAAGCAGCCUCAUUGAGGCCAUCAGACGCUGUCCCUGAAGCCUCAGUUCCCCACUCCAGCUGUUUCAGAGAAGUCAUGAGUGUCGGUCCCACAACAUGCUGGGAAGUUGGCCCUGACGUCCAAUCAUGGGAGCCCGGGUGGUGGCCGCGACAGAGCCCAGCGGGUGCUCUGCAAAGGCUGGCUCACUGCAAAGGCUGGCUCACGGCUGCAGCCACCAGCGUCCUGCCCCCUGCCCUCGGGACCUUGGGCUGCAGGCAAGGAUGUGAGGAGAGAGGCAGGAAAGCUCCCCUGUGGUGUCAUCAGGCAGGUCCUGCGUUGGUGUGGCCAGGGCACAAGGCACCCAGGGCGCAGCUUCAGAGGAUGUGGGUGGCUGCGUGCCGCUUGUUUUUCACAGUAAGUUUUUUCCCUUCAGUACCAGGGAUUGAACCCAGGGCUCCACCACUGAGCUCAACCCCAGCCUGCUUUGCUUUUUGAGAUAGGCCUCACUAAGUUGCCGAGGUUGGCCUUGAGCUCCUUUCUCGACCUCCCAAGCUGCUGGGAUUACUGGCUUGCAGUCACUGCACCUGGAUACAAUGAAUUUCUGAGUUUACGAUUGAGUUACAGCAACACCGGGGACAGCAAAGGACGCUCCCUUCCUCUGUAACAGCUGCCCUGCCACAGGAUCCUGGGCACAACUGAAGCCUACAGGACCUGGGACAUAGGAGGUCAAGUCACCAUGUCUCUUGGGCUCCUCUGGGGUUCUGUGCAAGGUCCCUUUGGGGCCCUGAUGCUCUCACCGUCAGCCCGGCAGUGGCCACAGUUCAUGGGGCUGGUGCUGCUGGAACACCUGGCAGGGGCGUCUGGGUGUCUCUACCCACUCAGUUACUCUCUCCAGUGUGCUCCUGGGGGCUGCCCCACAGCCCACGGGCAAGGACACCUCCAGGUGUCAGCCUUGUGCCACCAGGGUAUAGGGUACAGCCUUGUGCCACCCAGACCCACUUGGCUCAUUUGGACGGCAUGUGCUCCAGUGGUCCCUUUAGAUUGUCCCCUAGUGACACCCAGUUCUCAUAAAGUCUGAGCAAGCACUGUGGUGUUCAAACUAGAGACCGACUCCCAGGGGGUCCCUCCACAGGACGCUCAGGGCUCCCUGAUCUCUCCGGCAUGGAGAACCCACCUUGUGGUCCUUGUUCUGCUAUGGCUGUAGAGCCCCCGGCUCCUGUUCCCUGACAUGCCAUCGCUGUGGGCACUUCUGACCUGUUGGGGCCUUUCCCACCCAGCCUGGGACCAGCCACUCCUCCAAGGCCUGGGCUCCUUCUGGAGGGUGGAAUUGGGAACAAGGACCUGGAGUUGGGUGUGCCUGCUGCUCCUGAGGUUGGCGGAGAGGCGUGUGAGUGCAUGGACUGUCCUGCCAAUGUUUUUGUGGAGCCGUACUGGGGAUUGUACCCAAGAGCACUCUACCAUUGAGCCGCACUCCCAGCCCUUUUAAAGAUCUUGAAAAAAGUUCUUGCUAAA